GCUCAGGACGAACGCUGGCGGCGUGCCUAAUACAUGCAAGUAGAACGCUGAAGAGAGGAGCUUGCUCUUCUUGGAUGAGUUGCGAACGGGUGAGUAACGCGUAGGUAACCUGCCUUGUAGCGGGGGAUAACUAUUGGAAACGAUAGCUAAUACCGCAUAACAAUGGAUGACACAUGUCAUUUAUUUGAAAGGGGCAAUUGCUCCACUACAAGAUGGACCUGCGUUGUAUUAGCUAGUAGGUGAGGUAAUGGCUCACCUAGGCGACGAUACAUAGCCGACCUGAGAGGGUGAUCGGCCACACUGGGACUGAGACACGGCCCAGACUCCUACGGGAGGCAGCAGUAGGGAAUCUUCGGCAAUGGGGGCAACCCUGACCGUGCAACGCCGCGUGAGUGAAGAAGGUUUUCGGAUCGUAAAGCUCUGUUGUAAGUCAAGAACGGGUGUGAGAGUGGAAAGUUCACACUGUGACGGUAGCUUACCAGAAAGGGACGGCUAACUACGUGCCAGCAGCCGCGGUAAUACGUAGGUCCCGAGCGUUGUCCGGAUUUAUUGGGCGUAAAGCGAGCGCAGGCGGUUUGAUAAGUCUGAAGUUAAAGGCUGUGGCUCAACCAUAGUUCGCUUUGGAAACUGUCAAACUUGAGUGCAGAAGGGGAGAGUGGAAUUCCAUGUGUAGCGGUGAAAUGCGUAGAUAUAUGGAGGAACACCGGUGGCGAAAGCGGCUCUCUGGUCUGUAACUGACGCUGAGGCUCGAAAGCGUGGGGAGCGAACAGGAUUAGAUACCCUGGUAGUCCACGCCGUAAACGAUGAGUGCUAGGUGUUGGAUCCUUUCCGGGAUUCAGUGCCGCAGCUAACGCAUUAAGCACUCCGCCUGGGGAGUACGACCGCAAGGUUGAAACUCAAAGGAAUUGACGGGGGCCCGCACAAGCGGUGGAGCAUGUGGUUUAAUUCGAAGCAACGCGAAGAACCUUACCAGGUCUUGACAUCCCGAUGCUAUUUCUAGAGAUAGAAAGUUACUUCGGUACAUCGGUGACAGGUGGUGCAUGGUUGUCGUCAGCUCGUGUCGUGAGAUGUUGGGUUAAGUCCCGCAACGAGCGCAACCCCUAUUGUUAGUUGCCAUCAUUCAGUUGGGCACUCUAGCGAGACUGCCGGUAAUAAACCGGAGGAAGGUGGGGAUGACGUCAAAUCAUCAUGCCCCUUAUGACCUGGGCUACACACGUGCUACAAUGGUUGGUACAACGAGUUGCGAGUCGGUGACGGCGAGCUAAUCUCUUAAAGCCAAUCUCAGUUCGGAUUGUAGGCUGCAACUCGCCUACAUGAAGUCGGAAUCGCUAGUAAUCGCGGAUCAGCACGCCGCGGUGAAUACGUUCCCGGGCCUUGUACACACCGCCCGUCACACCACGAGAGUUUGUAACACCCGAAGUCGGUGAGGUAACCUUUUGGAGCCAGCCGCCUAAGGUGGGACAGAUG
rnacentral:rRNA from 1 species